rnacentral:piRNA from 1 species
UAGGAAGUGUGCCCUGAGGGUGGGGCUCUGU